CUAGCUUGUUAGCAGCGGUGUUUUCCUUUGUUACAGGUCGGACUUCCGUUUUCAAUGUUUGCUUCGGGUUUCUGGAAUUUACUGUCUGGUGACAGUUAUAGCUAGAAACCUCGUUGAUAAAGACAUAUAGUUGUUGUGUCGUUUUUUUUCGCGAAGCGGCCGGACCAGAAGUCCAACAUUUCAGCCCGACCUGAAAGUUGGACUGUCACUCUUUUUCAACGUCUCUUUAACUAAGGUUAGCUGGCUAGCAUUAGCCAGCUGAGUUAAACCGCUUAGCAUGUUUCGCUUCUUGAAUGACGCCGAAGACGAUCCUUUUAUGUUGGAUCCAUUUGCUGCCCACAGACAGCAGAUGAGGACUAUGUUUGGACCAUUCGCCAUGGAUCCAUUUGCGCUCGCUCCUCAGAUUCAGCCACACCGUGCUGCACGCAGACAGGCGGGUCCCAUUGUUCCCUUUGGCAUGAUGGGAAUGGGAGGAGGGUUCAUGGAUAUGUUUGGCAUGAUGGGAGAAAUGAUGGGAAACAUGGAAAGAAUGUCCGGAUCGCCAAACUGUCAAACAUUUUCAUCUUCAACAGUGAUCUCAUAUUCAUCCUUAGACACAGGAGCUCCUAAAGUUUAUCAGCAGACAAGUCAAACAACAACAGGCCCUGGCGGGAUCCGUGAGACACGGCAGUCGAUGAGGGACAGCGAGAGCGGCCUGGAGCGUCUUGCUAUCGGCCACCACAUUGGAGAACGAGCACACAUAAUGGAGCGCUCACGAAACAGGCGCACUGGAGAUCGAGAAGAACGGCAAGACUUCAUUAACCUUGAUGAGAGCGAUGCUGCAGCAUUUGAUGAGGAGUGGAGGAGGGAGGCAGGGAGAUAUGCUCCCCCACAUGCCCGGGGGCUGGAAUAUGGUCAAGAUCCACGUGGAGGAGGACAGCAGCUGGCCCUUCCUGCCCCUUCCAGUUCAACACCCCCCCAUCGACAUGAGUCUCCCCGACAUCGUCAGCAUCACACACGUCCACGUUACGACUGGUGAAGGAACAAAAGGAUGCCACAUCAUUUGAUGAAGAUGAUCAACCCACAGAGGGCUUAAUCUGAAGUCAGUGAGAAAUGUAAGCAGAAAAACUCAAGCAAGCUGGUCCAAUCUACUGAAAUGUCACUGCAGCAACUGAAAAUGAUCCUGACCAGGUCAUCACUGAGCUCCUGGCCAGUCUGAGCUACAACCUGGUGGUGUUGGAUGGACCAAAAUGUGAUGUCCUAGAGAUGUUCUGUUGGAUUUAGGUGUCCCACUUUGCAAGGAAGCAGAAGGAAGGAACUGAGGGAGCGCUUCCCCCGAUGCUGUGAAACACACUGAAGACGGAGCUGCCCGACAUUAAUGUUUGAUAUGACUGGACUGUCUAAACAUGUGCAACAUAUUACACACACACACAAGAUCAAGAAAAUAUAACACACUCGAUGGCUACAUUUACAGAUCAACUUCUGUACUGUUACAUAGCGCUAUACAGACACCCCUGUGUAAACAUGGGUGAAAGUACACUCACUUUAUAUAUAAAUAUGUACUCAUUCUCAAAACUUGACAUGUCUUUACCCACUGCACUUCGCUGCUGCAGUAUUCAGUAAUUCUGCUGUACAGUCCAUUUUAUGUUUGUGAGGGCACUAGUGUGUCUGUGAACUGAAUUGUAUACUGUUACCUAAUUAAUCUAACUAAAUAAAAGUUCAUUAAACAUUGUUAGAUAAUUAA